rnacentral:rRNA from 2 species
GCGGAGGAAAAGAAACCAACCGGGAUUGCCCCAGUAACGGCGAGUGAAGCGGCAAAAGCUCAAAUUUGAAAUCUGGAGCCGUGCGGCUUCCGAGUUGUAAUUUGCAGAGGGAGUCUCGGAGGGCGUGUCGGCCCAAGUGCCUUGGAACAGGAUACCGCAGAGGGUGAGAGUCCCGUAUCCGGCCGACAUCGCGCUCCGUGUGAGGCCCCUUCGACGAGUCGAGUUGUUUGGGAAUGCAGCUCUAAGCGGGUGGUAAAUUCCAUCUAAAGCUAAAUACGGGCCAGAGACCGAUAGCGCACAAGUAGAGUGAUCGAAAGAUGAAAAGCACUUUGAAAAGAGAGUUAAACAGUACGUGAAAUUGUUGAAGGGGAAGCGCAUGGGGGCAGACGUGGGCGCGGGGUUCAGGGCUUCGAGAUCGGAGCGUGUACUUCCCCGCGCGCAGGCCAGCAUCGGUUCUGGGGGCCGGACAAAGGCGACGGGAACGUGGCUCUCUUCGGGGAGUGUUAUAGCCCGGCGCGCAAUGCGGCCACCUGGGACCGAGGACCGCGCUCGGCAA